rnacentral:lncRNA from 1 species
AACUGUGGUAGAAUGAUUGAAGAACUGGUAGAAGUGAAUGAAAGAACUGUGGUAGAAGUGAUUGAAAGAACUGUGGUAGAAGUGAUUGAAAGAACUGUGGUAGGAGGUGAUUGAAGAAGUGGUAGAAUGAUUGAAAGACUGUAGAAGUGAAUGAAGAACUGUGGUAGAAGUGAUUGAAGAACGGUGGUAGAUGAUUGAAAGAACUGUGGUAGAAGUGAAUGAAAGAACUGUGAUAGAAGUGAAUGAAAGAACUGUGGUAGGAGUGAUUGAAAGAACUGUGGUAGGAGUGAUUGAAAGAACUGUGGUAGGAUGAUUGAAAGAACUGUGGUAGGAGUGAUUGAAAGAUCUGUGGGA